rnacentral:rRNA from 1 species
CGCGUAGGUGGCGGGACAAGCGUGCGGUGAAAGCUCGGGGCUCAACCCCGAGUCGGCCGUGCGAACUGUUUUGCUUGAGCACUGUAGAGGCAAGCGGAAUUCCGGGUGUAGCGGUGGAAUGCGUAGAGAUCCGGAAGAACACCGGUGGCGAAGGCGGCCUGCUGGGCAGUAGCUGACACUGAGGCGCGACAGCGUGGGGAGCAAACA